AGCAGCCGCGGUAAUUCCAGCUCCAAUAGCGUAUAUUAAAGUUGUUGCAGUUAAAAAGCUCGUAGUUGAAUUUCGGGACUAAUAUGUCGGUCGUGCCUCGGUACGCACUGGCUUAUUGGUUUCUCCUUUCUGAAGAACCAUGAUGUCAUUUAUUUGGUGUCGUGGGGAAUCAGGACUGUUACUUUGAAAAAAUUAGAGUGUUUAAAGCAGGCUCACGCUUGAAUACAUUAGCAUGGAAUAAUGAAAUAGGACGUUUGAUUCUAUUUUGUUGGUUUCUAGGAUCGACGUAAUGAUUAAUAGGGAUAGUUGGGGGCAUUAGUAUUCAAUUGUCAGAGGUGAAAUUCUUGGAUUUAUUGAAGACUAACUACUGCGAAAGCAUUUGCCAAGGAUGUUUUCAUUAAUCAAGAACGAAAGUUAGGGGAUCGAAGACGAUCAGAUACCGUCGUAGUCUUAACCAUAAACUAUGCCGACU
rnacentral:rRNA from 1 species